rnacentral:lncRNA from 1 species
ACAUAUCCUCCCUGCCUGGACCUUCAAAACAAUAUAAAACUGAAUGAAGCCAAUGAAAGAAGUCACAGGAGGAUUUUUGCAGAGCUUCCAUCCAGUUCAGAAACAAAGCAAUUCAAUACAUGUCUUCAAGAUUUCUAAAGGCAAUGACUUAUAGAACCGUGGAGAAUUGCCAAGAUUGCUGACUAGAUGUGGCCAGGAGAAAUAUCUCCCACUGAGAGACUGGGACAUUGGAAAGACUAUAACACACCUCUGAGUAGAUCUUCUGAUGGAAGGCAUUAAGAGUGGAUGCAGAGAGGAUGCAGAUGCUGGGCUGAAGAGAGAGGAAGCUGGGAACCCUGCAUAGUGUGGCUGAGCCUCAGGACUUGUACCUGGCCUUCAGAGACUCCUGGGGGAAGGGUGAGUUUACAGGUGAGGAGUGGCCUGCUCUCACCAUGGACCCAUUUUGGUAGGUCCCUCAACCUCUAUGGGCAUCUGAGAUGGUAGGAAAAGCUGCUCAGAGAGGUCAUAUGGGCAGGACUCCAGCCUAUGCAGAGCCCAGAGUGGUGGGAG